rnacentral:rRNA from 1 species
GGCGGUUCGCCGCCGGCGACGUCGCGAGAAGUCCACUGAACCUUAUCAUUUAGAGGAAGGAGAAGUCGUAACAAGGUUUCCGUAGGUGAACCUGCGGAAGGAUCAUUGUCGCAACCUUUGCAAGCACGACCGUGGACAUGUUGUUAAUUUUGAGACAAGGGGGAUCCCUCGUGGUUCCCGUUGCCCCUCAAUCGACCGAUGCGGUGCUCUGCCUCGGCAUGUGUUCCUGCAUCGGUCAGUCAAACGAACCCCGGCGCGGACAGCGCCAAGGAAUCAUAAAGAAAGAACUUGUCCUUUGCCUCCUAUCGUCAGGGGGACAAGCGACUCGAUCGAUCAAUUAUCAUAACGACUCUCGGCAACGGAUAUCUCGGCUCUCGCAUCGAUGAAGAACGUAGCGAAAUGCGAUACUUGGUGUGAAUUGCAGAAUCCCGUGAACCAUCGAGUUUUUGAACGCAAGUUGCGCCCAAAGCCUUUAGGCCGAGGGCACGUCUGCCUGGGCGUCACGCAAUGUGUUGCCCCUAUCUCCGAGUCUCGCAGUAUUUCUGCGGGCUCCGAGUGCGGUGCGUAGCUUGGCCUCCCGUGAGUUCGCCUUGCGGAUGGCUUAAAAAAUGAGCCUAGCGAUGACGAGAUGUCACGACAAGUGGUGGUUGGUAAAGGCUCUAGUAGCCUCUAAGGCUUUGCAUGUCGUGCAUUUUGUGUCGACCCUGUCGCUCUAGAUGAACCCAAAGGUGUUGUAUUUUAUGGCACCAACAUCGCGACCCCAGGUCAGGCGGGACUACCCGCUGAAUUUAAGCAUAUCAAUAAG